rnacentral:misc_RNA from 1 species
GUUGACAUUGACAAAACCCUAGAACAAUUGAGAACUCUCCAAGACCAUGUGGGGUGUGUCCCCAAUUCCAUUUCCGCCAUUCUUUCCUGUCAUUCCUAGACCCACCAAAGCACUCGUUUCCCUCACGGUCUCUGCAACCUCUAAGCCCUUUCGCCAACGCUCUUCCCCUAACCCAAAUCAGCAGAAGCAACGAAUACGAAAGCACGAACCAGAAAACGAUAAUCAAAGAGGAGCAGCAACCAAUCAGCUGACUGGGUUAGAUGUGCUUUGGGCUAUGAAGAGAGCGGCUGCUGAGAAAAACAGAGCAGCUGCUACUACUAAUAAAAAGAAUAGGAAGAGAAAAGGAUUACUCUCUGCAGACGGCCAGAGGGAGGAGUACGCUGUCGACUAUAGCAAUGUCAGGCCUUUGUGCAUAAAGAGCGAGUGGGGUGCUCGGUUGGACGAAUUGGAGAAGCGACUUCAGGAGAUUUCUGAGACCAAAUGAAGAAAUUUUAGGCUAUUGUACUCAAGUAUCGUGGUUGAAUGCUUUUUAACUACUCAACGUUUCCCCACUUCUUUUUCCUUUGGCCUGCUUACUGUGAAUAAAAGGAUAUAAAUUUUGUUUUUAUGUGAUGUUUGAUUGCUGAGAAAAUUUAAGACCUAUGUUUCAUGUUAUAAUUCUGAAUUUAGCAAAGUUAGAAUGUUGACGUAUUUUGGUAUUUGAUCGUCUUGUUCUGUAUGUUUCCCUUUAUUCAACAGGCAAAGCUCCCAUCUUUAACGGCAUUCAGGAGCUGUAUCUCAG